GCCUACGGGGGGCAGCAGUGGGGAAUAUUGCACAGUGGGCGAAAGCCUGAUGCAGCAACGCCGCGUGAACGAAGAAGGCUCUUGGGUCGUAAAGUUCUGUUCUGAGGGAAGAAGAAAGUGACGGUACCUCAGGAGAAAGCCCCGGCUAACUACGUGCCAGCAGCCGCGGUAAUACGUAGGGGGCAAGCGUUAUCCGGAUUUACUGGGUGUAAAGGGAGCGUAGGUGGCAGGGCAUGUCAGAUGUGAAAACCCGGGGCUCAACUCCGGGAG
rnacentral:rRNA from 1 species